AAGAAGAAAAAAAAAACAAACCAACUGUUUUAGGGCUCCGUUUGAUAAUGCUUAAAAGCUACGCUUUUUAAAUUACUAUCAAAAAACUCAAGAUUUUUUAGUUUUUUUGCUUUUCUGCCUUUACUUUAAAUAAAAAUAAGCAAAUAAGCAAAAGAAAAAAAAAACAAAAAAACAACAACUCUGAUUGAUUUUUUUUUUUAUUUUAAGCAAAAAAAACCAGCCAAAAAGUUUUAAAUAAGUUAGUUUCAAAACGGAGGCACUGGAUUAGUCAAAUAAUCAGCUGUCAUUUGACUCUGAUUUUCAUUUUUCUUAAUAAAAUGGGUUAUUAUUAUCGCCCACCCCCUUUCAUUUGUCAGAGCUCUUACUGACAUAACCAAGAUCGACAAGCCAAAUCCAAAAUGUGGGAAUGCACAAUGGCAAGAAAUCAGAUCAUCAAGUAUGUCCAUUCUUAACAUCAAAAGAAGAAAAUAUGAAUGGUACCGGGCAUUAAAUUCAAGCUGACAUACGUUAUAUAUUUCAACUCGUUUGAAGCUACACAAAAGCAGAAUCAAGAUAAAAACGGAAAUAAAUAAAACGAAAAGGUACUCAGAAACAGAACAGCUAAUUACAGUUCGUUCAUGACGGUAGAAGUUUGUGUCACAAAAAACCCUUAUAAAAGAGUGAUAAUAUACAAAGAGGCAAGAGAAGAGCAUGAUUUGUCAUUUCACCUGUUGGCCUACAAGCCAAGUUAGUAUAAUCCUUGCCACGGACUGAUAUCCUCUGAUGAUGUCCCCCGAAGACAGACGAUUGCCUGUGCAAAAGCCAAAAGUGAACCCUUAGCUAUACAUAUAUAUAUAAAAUCAUCACAGCAUGAAAAAUGUAAGUGUUGCAAGCACCUCAAACAAGCUCCAUAAAUGGGAACAGAAAACAAAACAAACACUUGAAACCUAAAAAUUAAUAAUCAUCUGAGUAUCCACAGCCUAAAGAUUAGUAAUCACCGGUGUAUCCACAGUAUCUCGUGAAGAGGGAACCCAUCUUUGUAAGAGGAAUGUUAGCGGGUGAAACCUAAAAUGUUGUGCAUUCUUCUAUCUCCUUAAUUAACACGAGCAUUCAUAUAUCAUUCACUUAUGAGAAACAUGAACAGGAAAUACGAGGUCACCCCCGAUUUCCAACAUCAUAGUUUUCUCGGACCAAUCCUGUAUGCUAAAUUCGAUUUAGAAGGCUAAUAUUUGGGCUAAUAUUUGUAGUCCAGCUCUUGGCUAAUCCACAAGAACCAAACCUGCCUCCCCCACCAAAAAAUCAAUCAAAUUACGUAAUAGUAUUAGUUAAUACAGAAACGGCACCAGCAGCAAACGUUUGUAGAUGUGAGACCCUACUUUGACCUCUGACGAAGCUAUUGGGUCUCCCCCCUCUAUUUUUAUUUGUUUUUCUUUUUCUCUCUCCAUCACACAAUCAUCAAGUGAUCAGAUCGAUUCUUUUUCGUUCUCUCUCUUUCUCUCUCUCUCUCCAUCACACAAUCAUGAAUUGAUCAGAUGAUUCUACUUUCUUUCUAUUCCCAACUCCCUCUCUCUCCACCACAAACAAUGGAUGAACCAAUUCUUCUGUUUCUAUUCUCUGUUGUCUCACCAAUCACCAUUCUUCUUUCUUUCUUUCAUUCUAUAUCUCACCCUCUCUCAUAAGUGU
rnacentral:lncRNA from 1 species